rnacentral:tRNA from 1 species
GCCCUCUAAAAAGAAGCAGCGGACUCAUAAUCCGUUGGUCCAAGGUUCAAGUCCUUGUGGGCCCA